AUUGAACGCUGGCGGCAGGCCUAACACAUGCAAGUCGAACGAGUGGCGGACGGGUGAGUAAUGUCUGGGAAACUGCCUGAUGGAGGGGGAUCACUACUGGAAACGGUAGCUAAUACCGCAUCCCAUCGGAUGUACCCAGAUGGGAUUAGCUAGUCGGUGGGGUAAAGGAUCACCUAGGAGACGAUCCCUAGCUGGUCUGAGAGGAUGACAAGACAAACUGGAACGGAGAGACGGUCCAGAUUCCCACGGGAGGCAGCAGUGGGGAAAAUUGCAAAAUGGGCGCAAGCCUGAUGCAGCCAUGCCGCGUGUAUGAAGAAGGCCUUCGGGGUGUAAAGUACUGUCAGCGGGGAGGCGUUACCCGCAGGAGAAGCACCGGCUAACUCCGUGCCAGCAGCCGCGGUAAUAC
rnacentral:rRNA from 1 species